ensembl:lncRNA
AUUCACUAUACCUUAGUAUUACUGUUAUAAAAUUAUAAUUAGUUUCAGUUUCGGAAGGAUGUUAAUGAGUUAUGUACAGUAGGUAUCUAAUAUUGUUCAAUAGUACAUUAUUCAAAAGUAAGCAAAGAAACAUUUUAGAUGUAACCCACCUAAUAGUCUUAAAUUGCUACUCAACAUUUAAAGAUUAAGUAUGAAAGCAGAAAUUCUUUCAAAGGAGAUUACAUGUGUAUCUUCUUACCGUUUAAACUGAAUUUCAGACAGUAGAGGAAGAAUCUGUCUGGCAUGAUUAUAUGUGAUUUUGCUCUUUCUGAUGUUCGCACUAAUGCAGCAAACUCGCUGCUGGAGAAAAUAGAUAAGCUCCUCCCAACUGAGAGAACAGGAAGUCAGGUCUCCUCCCACCUUCUCCAGGAAAAAGCGGGUCAGUUCCCCAUCCUGCACCUCACACAGCAGACUGCAUGACACAUGAGGCUGAUGAGAGAGUGAGCCUCCAUCCUGCACUCAGUGAGAUUCACACAGUGAACAGUCCAGAUGUUCAGGAGAGAAGACAAACUGCUCAGAAAUGUGAAGAUCUCUUUCUUUGGGUUUAUGCUGUUAAGCCUCAGACAGAGCUCCUCAAUGACCAACGAGCCACCAGCUCUCACUGCUCCAAAUGCUCGGACCAUCCUCCCUACCACACGGUCACUCAGGCUGACAAGCGUUCACCAAACACAUUCAUUAAAGGGGAUUUCAUGGUCCAGCUCAAUUUCACUCAUGCAUACUAAAGCUUAAUGAAGUUAUAUAACCUGGUGUGAAAAUUAAGAAACUGAUUAAUAACAUACCAGAGUUUCUGUAGGUGUGUGAUGUGUCUGAAGAGAAGUCUGGCCCCUCGGAGAGAGAUGGCUCGGGGUUUCAGAGUGAGUUUGACUUUGGAGUCUGAGAGACGUAGCACUUUCCUCACAGCCCUGCACUCACGAGUGGUUAAAACCCAGUCUAUAAUGAAGAUGAAGUCCAAGGCAGCAAAGAAAGCUCUCACCAACUUUGUAUCUUCUGCGCAGUCAACAACUGCUUUACUUAAACGUGGAAUGAACUCUUCUUCACAUCUAAAACAGACAGGAUUAAUGUAAAACUAUAAAUAGGACAUCUUCUAACUUAUUGUUCUUAAAAUUCCAUAAAUAACAUGUUAGAGGUGAUGCAGUGCUGCUAUAAAGUUUGUGAACCUUUUACAUUUUCUGCAUUUCUGCAUAAAUUUGAUCUGAAAUGUGAUCAGAUCUUCAUCUCAGUCAGAAAACUCAGUGCACCCAAUUAAAU